UGCCAGCCGCCGCGGUAACACGGGGGGCGCAAGCGUUAUUCGGAAUUAUUGGGCGUAAAGGGCGCGCAGGCGGUCUUGUCCGUCAGGUGUGAAAGCUCGGGGCUCAACCCCGGAAGUGCACUUGAAACUCCCAGUCUUGAGUUCGAGAGAGGUGAGUGGAAUUCCGAGUGUAGAGGUGAAAUUCGUAGAUAUUCGGAGGAACACCAGUGGCGAAGGCGGCUCACUGGCUCGAUACUGACGCUGAGGUGCGAAGGCGUGGGUAGCGAACGGGAUUAGAUA
rnacentral:rRNA from 1 species